rnacentral:rRNA from 1 species
UCUCCGUUGGUGAACCAGCGGAGGGAUCAUUAUC